AUGGAAGUGAUGAUUUUUUCCCCAGGUGAUCGACGCUGAACAAACUGUGCGAUUUUUCUCUUUUGAGAAACCAAGCCAAAUAAAUCUGAUCCAU
rfam:Glycine max cultivar Williams 82 chromosome 14, whole genome shotgun sequence.